AGGAGCCCAGGAACCGCAGCGAGCAGCUCCCGUCCAUGCAGCACCUCCGCCUCCGCCUCCUCCCUCUCCUCCUCCUCCUCCUGCAGCGGGGCCGGUCCCAGUCCCGGUCCCGCCCCAAGGCGGUCCCCGGCGCCGUGCCGCUGCCCUGCCGGCUGGCGGCAACGCCGGCGGCCUGCACCCGCCUGCCCCACGGCCUGCGGGCUCCGCCGGCUCCGCCUCUGCCUCGGCGCGGAGCCAUCACCGGCGGGGCGACCGCCGCGGGCUCGUUUUCUCCUCUGUUCUGCUUGGGAGCGAGCAAGUGGCUGUGUGGGUGCUUGCUUGUGGAGCCCUGUGACAGCUACGCUGGAGAAGUUGUGCUCCUGUGCACAUAUCCUGAUCCCUGAAAGGAAGAAGGCCAGCCGUGUGCUGGCUCUCAUGCUGGUGUUAACCAGCCCAUUUGUCAAGGAGUUGGUUGUAGGAGCAACCCCAGAAUGAACUCCCAACCUGUUAAGGUCUGCAUGAUCCCUCUAUUAGCUCUUAGGAGUUCACAUUUAUGGCAUAGAGGCUACAGGGGCAUCCGUCCUUGUGUAUUAAGAAUCAUAGAAUAUCUGAGUUGGAAGGGACCCACAAGGACCAUUGAGUC